CGCAAGCCUGACGGAGCAAGACCGCGUGCGGGAUGACGGCCUAAUGGUUGUAAACCGCUUUUCUCUGGGAAGAUGAUGACGGUACCAGAGGAAUCAGCCUCGGCUAACUCCGUGCCAGCAGCUGCGGUAAUACGGAGGAGGCAAGCGUUAUCCGGAAUUAUUGGGCGUAAAGCGUCCGUAGGUGGUUAUUCAAGUCUGCUGUCAAAGCGUGGGGCUUAACUCCAUAGAGGCAGUGGAAACUGGUUAGCUUGAGUGCGGUAGGGGUAGAGGGAAUUCCCGGUGUAGCGGUGAAAUGCGUAGAUAUCGGGAAGAACACCAGUGGCGAAAGCGCUCUACUGGGUCGCACCUGACCCUCAGGGACGAAAGCUAAGGUAGCG
rnacentral:rRNA from 1 species